UUUUGAGACUCCGCUAAAGCCAAGCAAUGGUCAUACAUUGAUCUGGAAUUGCUAUGAAUGGCCUUGCUUUUACUGUCAAGCAGUUGAGAUCCAUUUUCAACUGUCUUUUGAAUCCUUUCUUUAUUGGCACCCACGAUUUCUGCUUGUGAAGCCGCAUUCCGUAAAAACUCUUCUGAACGGUUAUUCAUAAUUUCGUUUGCUUUCCUUAUAUUCGAGUUUGUAUCAUUGAGAUGUGAAUGUAAGAUAUCCGCUUUGGUAUACAAAGAUUCGUUCUGUUCCUGUAAAA